CCGCGGCCUGGCCCCGGCCCCGAUGUGCCGGAGCGGGAGGCGCGGGACCCCGACGAGCUGCACUCUUUCAGCCGGUGAGACGACGACGAGGACGAGGGGCCGGAGCGGCCGCUGCCGGAGCGGUACAUGAUGGCGCCGGCGGCCCGGGGGUCCCUGCGGCCUGCGCGGGCGCCCCGGCUCCUCUGACCCUGCCCCCCCCCGUAACCCCGACUGACCCCCCGCACCCCCCGCGCGUGCGCGCCGCCGGCCGCCCUGCGCGCGCUCCCGAGCCAGACACCGGCGGGGGGGGCGGGGGGAGGCGGGGUAAGCCCGGGCCGCGCAGGGGGCGGGCGGCGGGAGGCGUUGCCGGGGGACGCCCGCACAAAAUGGCAGCCGCCGAGCGCCGGUCACGUGUGGCGGGCGGGCUGCGGACCGGCGGGAGGCGGGAGCUCGGGGGGUGCGCCGCUCCCUCACUGCCCGCUCCCGGUCCCCACUGCCCGUGGGGGGGACGCGCUCCCCGCGCUCGGGCGGCUGCUCCAUCCUGCUUGAGUGUCCCGCGGGGCUUCCCGCCGCGCCGCCUCUCCGGGACAUCCCGGGUGAUGGAGCUUCACCGGGGAGCUGCGGGGGCUGCGGGGAGGCGCUGAGGGGUGGAUCUCGGUCGGGCCUUGCCACAGGGCGAUGAUAGCAGCCCUCCAGGUUAAGCCAAAAGCAAAAGGGCUUUCGAGGUGGUUUUUGUUUUGCUUGCAGUGUGCUGUGGAACCUGCCGGCAUGGGUGGUGGCCUUAGGCAGCAGUGUGUUAGCGAACAGUCCUUGGCUGCUCGAUGAGGCGGUGCUGAGCCUGAGCUUCCAGCUCAUAAGGUUUCUGAACAGGUUUCCUUGCCGUGGCUGCCAUGAGCUGGGAUGAUGUGACAGGGGAGGGAUCGCUUCGUGCCUCCUCCCUCUCAGCUGAGCACCGGCUAGUGCAGGCAAGAGGUCUACAGAGAUGUCCUUGUGGUUUCUGGUGAUAGAUUCAGUGGCAUUUUCAAGGUGAAGGAAUCCAGAUACCAGUAACUAAUGACUGAUCAUUAAAACAUCUGUACACCAAUAAUGCUGUCUGGAGCAAAGAGGGAUCUGUGGCUUCUGAAAGCUGUCCAUCUUUCAGCUGGAGUGGAAAAGUUCAUGCCUUUCAACAAGAAGAGCUUAGGAGAGAUGAGCAAGCAGAAUGCAGUACGUGGAAAAGGAGAACACUAGAAUGCAAUGUAGCUGAAAUAGAAAAGCUCCGAGAGUGAUAAGCUUAAUAGAGAGAAGGAUGGUCUUUGUCCUGAUAUCUGAGGACUUCUCUCAGUGAGGGGAAGUGGGUGUUUGGUUGGGGUUUUCUGGUUUGUUUUGGUGGGGUUUUUUGUUUGGGGUUUUUUCAUUUGGAAAGGAAUAAGACUUCAGAACCAUGAAA